rnacentral:rRNA from 1 species
CCUGACGGGUUGUUGCUGGCUCUCUAGGGAGCAUGUGCACGCCUUGUCAUCUUUAUAUCUCCACCUGUGCACCUUUUGUAGACCCUUUCAGGGGUCUAUGUUGCUUCAUUUACCCCAAUGUAUGUUAAUAGAAUGUUGUGCCUAUUAUAAUGUAUACAACUUUCAGCAACGGAUCUCUUGGCUCUCGCAUCGAUGAAGAACGCAGCGAAAUGCGAUAAGUAAUGUGAAUUGCAGAAUUCAGUGAAUCAUCGAAUCUUUGAACGCACCUUGCGCUCCUUGGUAUUCCGAGGAGCAUGCCUGUUUGAGUGUCAUUAAUAUAUAUCAACCUUCUCUUCGGUGAAUGGUUUGGAUGUGGGGGUUUGCUGGCCUCUAAAGAGUUCAGCUCUCCUGAAAUGCAUCAGCGGAACAACCUGUUCAUUGGUGUGAUAAAAUAUCUACGCCGUUGAAUGUGAGGGACAGUUCAGCUUUCUAACAGUCCUUGGACAAAUCAUCAUUAAUGUGACCUCAAAUCAGGUAGGACUACCCGCUGAACUUAAGCAUAUCAAUAAGCGGAGGAAAAGAAACUAACAAGGAUUCCCCUAGUAACUGCGAGUGAAGCGGGAAAAGCUCAAAUUUAAAAUCUGGUGGUCUUUUGGCUGUCCGAGUUGUAAUCUAGAGAAGUGUUAUCCGCGCUGGACCGUG